rnacentral:rRNA from 1 species
GACGAACCGUGCGAACGUUGUUCGGAAUCACUGGGCUUAAAGGGCGCGUAGGCGGGCCGGAUAGUCUGUGGUGAAAGCCUCCAGCUUAACUGGAGAAGUGCCAUGGAUACUGCCGGUCUUGAGGAGGGUAGGGGCAUCUGGAACGCUGGGUGGAGCGGUGAAAUGCGUUGAUAUCCAGCGGAACUCCGGUGGCGAAGGCGGCAUCCUGGACCGGUAUUGACGCUGAGGAGCGAAAGCCAGGGGAGCAAACGGG